rnacentral:rRNA from 1 species
CAGUCGCCGCGGGAAUACGAAGGGGGCUAGCGUUGCUCGGAAUGACUGGGCGUAAAGGGCGCGUAGGCGGUUUAUACGGUCAGAUGUGAAAUUCCUGGGCUCAACCUGGGGACUGCAUUUGAUACGUAUGGACUUGAGUGGAGAAGAGGGUUGUGGAAUUUCCAGUGUAGAGGUGAAAUUCGUAGAUAUUGGAAAGAACACCGGUGGCGAAGGCGGCAACCUGGUCUUUAACUGACGCUGAGGCGCGAAAGCGUGGGGAGCAAACAGGAUUAGAUACCCGCGUAGUCCCUGUCUCUUAUAC